rnacentral:tRNA from 1 species
GCCAGUUUGGCUCAGUGGAUAGAGCGCUGGCCUGCGGACUCAAGGUUCCCGGUUCGAUUCCGGUCAAGGGCA